rnacentral:tRNA from 1 species
GGCCUUAUGGUCUAGUAGCAUGAUUCCUCGUUUGGGUCGAGGAGGUCCUGGGUUCAACUCCCAGUGAGGCCC